UGAAUACGAGAUGCUACGGCGUCGAAGCAGUGUAUGUCAGACUUCCAAGAAAAGCUCGCAAUGUCAUAAAUAAAGAAUGCCUGUACCAUAACCGACACAGGUGGGUAGGUAGAGUAUACUAAGGGGCGCGAGAUAACUCUCUCUAAGGAACUCGGCAAAAUAACUCCGUAACUUCGGGAGAAGGAGUGCCUUCUUUAAGAAGGUUGCAAUAACAAGAUCCAAGCAACUGUUUAUCAAAAACACAGGUCUCCGCUAAGUCGUAAGACGAUGUAUGGGGGCUGACGCCUGCCCAGUGCCAGAAGGUUAAAGAAGUUGGUUAGCUUUUGCGAAGCUGAUGACUGAAGCCCUGGUGAACGGCGGCCGUAACAAUAACGGUCCUAAGGUAGCGAAAUUCCUUGUCGGGUAAGUUCCGACCCGCACGAAAGGCGUAAUGAUUUGGAUACUGUCUCGGAGAGGGACUCGGUGAAAUAGACUUGUCUGUGAAGAUGCGGACUACCUGCACCAGGACAGAAAGACCCUAUGAAGCUUUACUGUAACUUGAAAUUGAAAUUGGACUUUAUUUGCGCAGUAUAGGUGGAAGGCGUUGAAAGUAAUCUUGCGGGAUUAGUGGAGCCAUCAGUGAGAUACCACUCCUAUAAUGUUAGAUUUCUAACUUUGGAUCAUGAUCUGGUCAAAGAACAGUUUCAGGCGGGCAGUUUGACUGGGGCGGUCGCCUCCCAAAUGGUAACGGAGGCGUACAAAGGUUUCCUCUGAACGGGUAGAAAUCGUAUCUAGAGUGUAAAGGCAUAAGGAAGCUUGACUGUGAGACCUACAAGUCGAGCAGGGACGAAAGUCGGUCUUAGUGAUCUGACGGUGCUGAGUGGAAAGGCCGUCACUCAACGGAUAAAAGUUACUCUAAGGAUAACAGGCUGAUCUCCCCCAAGAGUUCACAUCGACGGGGAGGUUUGGCACCUCGAUGUCGGCUCAUCGCAUCCUGGGGCGGUAGUACGUCCCAAGGGUUGGGCUGUUCGCCCAUGAAAGCGGUACGCGAGCUGGGUUCAGAACGUCGUGAGACAGUUCGGUCCAUAUCCGGUGUAGGCGUUAGAAUAUUGAGAGGAGCCUUCUUUAGUACGAGAGGACCGAGAAGGACAUACCUCUGGUGUACCAGUUAUCGUGCCAACGGUAAACGCUGGGUAGCUAUGUAUGGAGAGGAUAACCGCUGAAAGCAUCUAAGUGGGAAGCCCACCUCAAGAUGAGUAU
rnacentral:rRNA from 1 species